GGGGAGGGGUAGGAGAUACAGGGGUUGCGGGGGUACGGGGGGCUCGUCACGCGUUGUGUAUUGGCAGCACGCAUUUCUACGAGUGCUCUGCAGGCUGGGAGGAGCUUAGCGGCCGCCACAGUUCGGCGAGAGAUGUUAUUAAAAAGCUUAUUAACAACUGUGUCCCAAAAAUCUCUAGUAAAAAAUUCUGAGUGUUUUGCGUUUGGGAAAUUAACUAGAGUCCAGGUUAGGAGGGUUUUUAGUUCUCGUUUAGGCAAUUUACUUUGGCCGGCUUUUAGUGAGAAUUUUAGUUGCUUAUACAGCUUUUUUUCUGGGGUUGAAUAGUUUUGACCCGUGAUAGACUGGUUUGUGACUCACCUCUUAUUUUAAUGAUGUCGGCUCGUCUCUCAGAGCUCGGGUGAUGGGUGCUGGCCGGGCACCUCCCGUCCGUUCUCGGGUGUCACUUAGUAAUACUCGCACAUAACCACGCUGCAGAGUCGUCUAAAAACUACAGUGCGGACGAUGCAGCGGAAAAACUUUUAGAGAGUUCGGGGUGUAGAUGCUGUGACAGCGUCUGCCCCUCGCUCGACCCCAUAGAGGCUUUGCCCACCUAGCCCAGGUGAGACGUCGCCUCGCAACGCCCCCCUGAGCUCGGGGGCUCCACGGAAACCGGGGGUUCAGACGCUGCUUGGCAACCUUCACCCCGAAGAAACCACGCAGGGGAUGUCCCGUGUAGCACAGAAGAGGCGUGGCUUUGCCACCCUUCUCAAUGCCACGGGGCCCUGCGGAAACCAGGGGUGCGGACGCCGUUCGGAACGUGCGCCCCGAAAAAGCCACGCGGCGGAUAGCUCUAGAGCUCCGGAGCCGACGCUGCUGAGCGACGGCCGGCCGGUGCCCGAGGGUGCCGCGGAACAGUGGAAAGAGAGUUACGGUGUUAUGGUGAUCAGCCGCAUAAACUGCACUCUAGACGGCCUUAAAGGGUGAAAAAACCUGUCUUCGUAGUUGCCAGUGAUGAUGGAGCAGUGUCUCACCGAUGGAGGAGUCGUGGGAUGGCUCGUAAACGUGCGGGCGCCAGGGACGCUUUGGAGGGACUAGGAAGAUGAAAUCAAAAGGAAAAAAGGAGAAAGAUUCCCCCUGCAAAUCCAGAUCCCCCCUGCAAAUCCAUGCACCGGUUCAUCUGCUCGGCUGCUGCUGCUUGACGGAGGUUUAAAGCAGAAGUAACUUCCUAGAGAAGAACCUGGAAACUCAUCAGCUGCAGAGACAAACGGACGGCCCAAAGAGCAGAAGAGCGAGCACGCAGAUGUGAACCGUAUCGAGACCGCAGUUGACGGCUGAACGGCUUGGAUCCCACGUGCGAGAGCAAUGGACUUUGGGUUUCGUGUGAAAAAGUGGGAAAAUGAAUAUUGUAAAGCCUCAUUUGUUAAAACAUGAGUGAAGGAAAAAUAACCCUUCUUGAAAAGUAAUCCAAUAAAAGAUUUAGGUUGA